rnacentral:rRNA from 1 species
AUUGAACGCUGGCGGCAUGCCUAACACAUGCAAGUCGAACGGCACGUCGGACGGGUGAGUACUGCCUAGGAAUCUGCCUGUUAGUGAGGGAUAAAGUCCGGAGACGGACGCUAAUACCGCAUGCUAUCAAGUGAGCCUAGGUCGGCUUAGCUAGUUGGUGGGGUAAAGGCCUACCAAGGCGACGAUGCGUAGCUGGUCUGAGAGGAUGAUGAGUCACAUUGGAACUGAGACACGGGCCAGACUCCUACGGGAGGCAGCAGUGGGGAAUAUUGGACAAUGGGCGAAAGCCUGAUGCAGCCAUGCCGCGUGUGUGAAGAAGGUCUUCGGAUUGUAAAGUACUUUAAGUUGGGAGGCGUUACCAGCAGAAGAAGCACCGGCUAACUUCGUGCCAGCAGCCGCGGUAAUUC